GAGCAGCCCACUGUGUGGAAGUCAAAGGCAAGGAACUGCUGCCACCGCGGUGGUGCUGGAUGCAGCCAAGCGAUGCCGUGGGUGUGCAGCUGAAGCCACCCGAGGGACCGAGUCUGCUGUUUGUUGCCAUUCCUUCAGAGUUGGCUGGGUUUUAUUUUGGGGGCUUUAAAGAGGAUUCCUGGAUGAGGAAUAACGGACACUCCACUGGAUCCUACCUUGAUGUUUAGUGGAGUAGAGAUGAGUAUUUUUAUUGCAAGUUUUAUUGAAAACUCUUUGAUUCUUUAGAUA